rnacentral:rRNA from 1 species
GACGAACGCUGGCGGCGUGCUUAACACAUGCAAGUCGAACGGAAAGGCCCUGCUUGCAGGGUACUCGGGUGGCGAACGGGUGAGUAACACGUGGGUGAUCUGCCCUGCACUUCGGGAUAAGCCUGGGAAACUGGGUCUAAUACCGGAUAGGAGCCAUUUUUAGUGUGAUGGUUGGAAAGUUUUUUCGGUGUAGGAUGAGCUCGCGGCCUAUCAGCUUGUUGGUGGGGUAAUGGCCUACCAAGGCGGCGACGGGUAGCCGGCCUGAGAGGGUGGACGGCCACAUUGGGACUGAGAUACGGCCCAGACUCCUACGGGAGGCAGCAGUGGGGAAUAUUGCACAAUGGGCGCAAGCCUGAUGCAGCGACGCCGCGUGGGGGAUGACGGCCUUCGGGUUGUAAACUCCUUUCGCUAGGGACGAAGCUUUUUGUGACGGUACCUAGAGAAGAAGCACCGGCUAACUACGUG